CCAGUGCGCAGAGGUUUUAACAGUGACUUCCCGGGCUGUGUGAGCGGCGCGUGCGCGGGUAUCCUCAAGGGACCUGCGCAGAGUCUGGACAUUACUCUCAGGCCAACGAGGGAGAACAUGCAGAAGAGAAACCGAGUCGGUGGAUGUGGGCGAGAAGAAACCUGACAACUCACCUGUUUCCAGAAGAGUCAGUUGAGCCAAGAUGGAAGUGAGGGGUUUGUCAGAACCUGCCCACUCCCCAAGAGUAGCUGAAUUGUUCAGUGGGAGCAUCUGGCACUGCCACUUGGAACUGGUUUGAAAUAUAUCCCUGGGAAGCCCUGAAAGCUACUCUGAUGUCGCUGAACUCAUGCCCUCAGAAUCAACCUCCAGGAGACCUCACAAGUUCCUCCCGGAAGAAGUGGUCAUUCAAAUCCUGCCUCUGACUGUGACAGAUCUGUCUGCUUCCAAUCACAGACUCUCUCAUCUAUACCAUCUAACAUAGGCUCCAAGCCCAGGGAAUGUCACUGCCCAUAGCUACAGUGUUUCUUCUCAUCUCAAUGAACUAAUCAAGAUAGUGUCUCACAGGCUCAGCCAGAGACUAAUCUCACUCAGACGGCCUUCAUAGAUGUUCUCGUAGGUCUGACUACUAAGUCGUUCUAGAUGCCAUCCUCUUGACAAUUGAUACUGAUGAUCACACUGUGGGUAAAGAUCUAAGCUCAGUUUCUGAGACAUCAGAAGAAUGGGGGAGACACUACUGUGACUGACAAGCAGCCUCGGGAAAAGAGUCAGUUCAGCUGAAUGAAGACUACAGGGAUGAUAUUGCUACCUACAGAGGAAGACCUGAUGCAGUAUCAAAGGAGAUGUCAAGAUGGACAUGAGCAAGAAAAAGAAGGAACAGGAAGGGGCUGAGGAAGGUGAAGAGAAACAAAAUGAUGGCAAUGAUUAAGUUCUUACACAGUUUUUCUCCUUGUCUAUAAAGCAUUUAAAUCUCCUUAUAACUCCCUUCUUUUAAGGAAAAAAACUGAAGUGCAAGGUUGUAUAGAUUUGUUUUUAAAGUGUAUAGUGUCUGGUUUUUGUGUAGUUAACACUACUGAGUGUCUUUAGAUAGCUCUAUCCUGAUGGUGCCUCAGAAAUGGUAUGUUGUUGGUGCACAGCACAUGUUAUUUACAUGUGGAGAUGGUAUCCUCAUUCCUCUUUCUGUUCUCUGGUCUUGUUCACAUGAAAAUAAUUCUUCUGUGAACUGAGUAUCACUUUGUAAUUAGAAAAGUGAACUGCUGCUAUCUCAUAGGCAUUCUCAAGGUUUUUAAAUAAAUACACAUUUUUAUUAGAAGAAAAGAAAAUGUGGUAUGUCUGUACAAGAGGGCUUUAUUCAACUGCAGAGAACAAAUAUCAGAUGCUUUUCUCACAUGUGGUAAGAAGAUCUUGGAAGAAGAGAGUGGGUGAAGUCGACCAUAGGACAGGGACGAGAGAUGGGCUGAAUAUAACUGAUGUACAUUGCCUAUGCAUAAAAAUAUAACAGAGCCAAUUAUUUUAUACAAAUAUAUGCUAAUUUAAAAGAAAAGUACACCAUUUAUUUAUCUUCAAAUCAUUGGCAUCGUAAUAGAUUAGAAAAAGGGAAUUCUUUUUCCAAGGGCUUUUUGGGGUGUGGUGUCUGCUGGGAAUACCUAGAAGCCAUCUCCACAGAGGGGGAGAACUGGAGGAUCAUGGGAGAAAGAAGUCUCUGGAGUGUGUCACAGGAGACAGAAGUCUCUGGAGUGUGUCACAGGAGACAGACAUCUCUGGAGUUUUGUGGAGGUUGGACUGAGGAAGGAGACAAGUAGUCAAGAUGUGGAAAGGCCACAGAAACACUGCUUGUUUUAAUCCAUGAGGUGCAAGGUGAAUAGGAGAAGCCUAGAGACAUAGGUGCAACUUGGACAGGGAUUGCUGCUGUCCUCUUUCAGAGAAGUGAAGACAACUGAGCUGGGCUCCCAUCUCCUCUUGACACAUGGAGUCUAUGGCAGCUUGCUGCAGGCACAGGAGGGCUAACAAGUCCUGGGAAGUUUUCUAUUUCCAUCCUGCAGUAGUCUCUUGGAUGGGAAACUUCACAAAGCUGGCAUUUCUGCAGGACUGAACUUUAGUUCUUUUGAUUAAUCGCUAUCUAUCUCUGCAGUUACCCCACUCUUCGUAUCCAUAAAUGGGAUUAAUACUCAUAAUACCCACAAAACAUAUGAGUAUAAGGCUCAAAUGAGUUAUAGGACAAGCCUUUGAAUGGUACCUGGUAGCCAUUAAUCACUAAAUACAAAUUGUUAAUUAAGGUUCAUAAUUAACAUAUGAUGGGUAAUCUUGGUUGUUGACUCAGCAGAUAAGGGGGCACCGCAGUUGAGUUUGGGCUACAUAAGAAAUGUAACUGAUCCUGAGCCUGGGAGCAGCUAACACGCAGCCUUCUUCCAUGGUUUCUGCUGCUGUUCCUCCCUAAGUGCCUGCUCUGCCUGCUCACAGUGAUGGAUUGUGACCUGGAAGUUUAAGCCAAAUAAACCCUUUUCCUCCCAAGUUACUUUUGGUCAUGGUGGAGGUAUUUUUGUUUGUUUUAUUUUGGUUUUUGUUUUGUUUUGUCUUUCUGACAGUAAUGAGAAAGUAUCUGAGACCUACUAACUACCUGCUCUAAGAUCAAAUGUGACCACUAGCCAUGUGGAGUCAUGUUUGACAUCUGUACCAUCUAACAGUUGCUACAAUUGCUAUCCUGAUGUCCACCAGCCAAGGACACAGGAAAAGGCCAGGAAGGAGAGAACAAGGGAGACACUGGGCACAGGAGAGGACAAGGGAGACCCUGGGCACAUUCUCUAUAUUUUAAUGAUUCUACUUGCAUAUGAACCUCACUUUGUGAGAUGGCUAGUUUGAACUGUCAGUUUAACAAUCUAGAAUCACCUCAGAGAAAAGUACAGCGAGGGCCUGGCUGGCUAGGUUAGCCUGUGGACACGUCUCCAGAUAGUUAUCUUAAUUGUGUCCACAGAGGAAGAACAAGCAGUGUGGGUGGGCAGGGAACCCUGGACUGUCAAAAAGGUGGAAAGAACUAGCUGAGGCCUAGCAUACAUGUGUCAGUUCACUGCUAUCUGCUCCUUACUGUGGAUGCCAUGUGAGUAGCUGCCUCAACUCCUGCCAUCCUGAUGUCUCAGCAUGGAUGACAACCUGGGAUUGUAAGCCAGAUAACAAUUUAUAUUUUUUCAGGGUAUUUUAUCAGAGCAACAGGAAAGAAAACUUAAAUACUUUGUUGUAUUUCUAAUUUAACUUCAUUUGAAUGCAUCUGUGGGGGAAAAUGUACUUAAAGAUUCUUACUUAUGUCAUCUAUAAUUUUCUUUUAUGAAGAGGCGUUAACUCCUCAGCCAAUCUUCAUCCCAGUGUUGGACAAAGUCUUUGUAUGAAGCUGUUUGUGGCAAAAGCAAGGGUCACGUGGUUAACGUCUACCCAAAUACUCUAUUUUCAAGCCAUGUCAUCAAGACAUCUCCAAAGUGUCAGAUUUCCCUCAUGUUCUACACAGAGCCUGGAUCUUUGAGACCCGUGGAACAGAGCCUUGGGAGAGAAGAGAAAAUGAACAGUUUAUGAAAAAGUAGAGAAAAAACCAGGGAUCCAGCUGUUCCCAGUGUACAACCCCUGGAUGCUAUGACCAGCCUCCGUCCAGAGGGCAUGGACCCCAGAUGAGGGGCUGGCUUUUUCCUGUUCUGGGGAAGGUGCCCUCCUUUAGUUCAGAGGCUGUGGGCUCUGGGGCUAGUUCUAUUCUCUGGCUUGUUUCCUGGCAUGGAAAACUGAGAGCUGUCUCCACUGCUGUCCCUGACAUCAUGGUGUUCUUUCCAUUACUCAGACAAGCACUUUGUUCUCACAUUGAAGCUUUAGCACAGCCGUGUCCUCUACCCAGAAUAUCUGGCUACUCCACCAGGAGACUUUCGUCAUUCUCUUGUUUUAUCCCCAACAAUUCAUAACUCUUGUUUUUUUUUAAAAUAAAUAACAACUUUAAUU
rnacentral:lncRNA from 1 species